rnacentral:lncRNA from 1 species
AAAGACAUAAUUUAAAUAACUUAAACAAUAAUCUUUCCCAUUAAAGGGUUACAUCAUCUUAAAACAAUCCCAGGUAAUCUAACCUUAAACUAUUACAUAAGUUUGCAGAAUACAUCACAUAAAUAUAUUAAGUCUUAUAACACCAUUCAUCCAAAUAAAUUCACAUAAAUCUUUAGCACUUGGAUAUCUUGACCUUUCCUUUGUUGGAAGAUGGCUCAUCGAAUUUCUCAACUUUAGCUGCAGUGUUAAAUGCAAGAGUGAGAAAACAAUUGCUCACUAAUAUAGAGAGUAAUAAUAAUAACAACAUGAGUUGAACAACGAAUGCUGAAUAAUGAUGAACUUGUUCUAUGAAUCAAAAAUAGAAAACAAGCUCAAAUUUAAUAUCUGAGGGUUUUAAGACCACGAACUAUGUCCCCGAUGUUUAGGUAUUAUUACCCCAACCUUAACAGUCAUUUAGACUAUACAGACCCUUCUUUACGUACUUAGGGGGAUCAGCCCUUUGUAACAUGUAUUGUGCACAAACAUCUAAAUGUUACACGUACAUAAUCCCCCAUGUUAGAGUUGUUCAUCUCAGUUUGAAUUUAGGAUUUACGCACUAAAGAAAAUUUAGUUCGAAACUAACUUAUCAGUGGUUCUAGAAUUUUAGAACAUUAUUCAAAUAUACACCAAUUGUAAUAACCCGGGAUUUUGAAAAAUCUGAAUUUUACGAAUAAUUUUUUUAAUUUAAUAUUGAUAUUGACUAUUAAUAUUGUGUUGUGUAUCUGUGAUACGAGUUAUAAGAAUUAGUCAAUUUGGGUAUUGACUAAGAAUUAAGAGUAGAGUUGUACCUAACUGAGAAUUUAAAACCCUAACCCUAAGUUCGGAUAAGGAUUCGAUAGAAAUCGCAAUUAUAAUAAAGGUAUAUGUGAGUACGCAUUUGUAUUGUAUAGAGUUAUUGAUCAAUGAUUGAUCGAAUAGGGUUUAAAAUUAGAAACCCUAAUCUCAGGUUUACAAACCCUAAUGCACAGUUAGGAACCCCAAGCGAAUGUCAAAAAACCUUAAUUUUAAUUUGGGAACUCUAAACCCUAAUUAGGAAGCCCUAAUCCUAAUCAGUAAACCCUAAAGUGAUUAGUAAACUUUAAUAUAAUUAAAAAACACUAAUUAUAUUUUAGUUAUCUUUUUUCUCUUUUAAAAACCCUAAUUAAAAACUCUUAGAAACUAAAGUUGUAAAACCUAAGGGUUAGAACCCUAAGGGUUGAAUCAAAAGUCUAGUAUGCCAUUCAAAUUACAAGGAGAAUGACCAUAAUACCCUUUUUACAAUCUUUAAUCAGUUAACUUGUAAAAUUUGCCAACACCUUUAGUUGUUCACCAACUUUUGACUUAGCAUGACCUAAAACUCCAGUAAAUCAGCCUAGAUUAUCAGCUAUGUUAGCAACAUGCAUUGCACCAAGUGAUUAUAAGAGAUUAAGAGAGAGAAAGUUCACCAAAAUUGCUCAUUUGCUAUCCAACUCGUAACCAACCUCUUCUCUCUCCUUAGCCACGAAAAACCAAAGUGGAUCAGUCACAAAAUAACCCCCUAAAACACCAAGAUCAGAUUUGGAAAGGCAAGAUCAAAGAUUAAGCAAGAGAAAUGUAUAAACCUAACUCAUCUUAGAUCAUGUAUGCAAAGUUCAAGUUGGUGUUUAUGUGUUUAAAUACAUGUUAGAAGAUGUUUUAUGGUGAUCUAUGAUGAUCUAUCAUAGAUCCAUAGCAUCAAAGUGGGUAAAAAUUGAAGUUUUCAAAAACUGUUCUUGAAUCCCAAAGUGGUCUGACAAGCAUAUGUUAUAAGCCAUAGAUCUUUCCCUAUUAAUGAUUUGUGGUGUUUUAUGUUUUGGAUUUGUAGUAUGCCAUGAGAACUGUAAUCUAGAAGUGGAAUCGCAGCCAUUCCAUAUCUAGAUUUCAUGUUAUUCUUGGUCAAAACCCGUUAACCGAGCAUGACCGGGUGAUUUCUAGGUAACCCAGAAAUCCUUAAACAGUGUCUGACAGGAUCUUCUAAGGCCCAGAUCUAUCCGGUUUUAAGAGAUUUGAUUUUGUUGUUAUAAACGUGUUGCAGCCUGUUAUAUGGACUCUAGAUCUAUGCCUUUAGAUCCUUUAAAUAAGCAAUAGAUCGAAUGGAGAGGCUAUUCAAAGUGGCCUACUCGAUCACGUUUUCUGUUUUCUGGAAUUUCUAGAAAAACGUAUAAACUAGUUUUCUGACAGCCUUUGACCGAACUAUAUCUGGACAUUUUGAUUUUGUUGGACUGAUCUGUUGUUAUAUAUAUGUUCUAUGACAUGAGAACAACAGGUUUGAAGCCUUAGAACACUUACGUAAUGAACAAAACUUAAAGGUAAUCGAGCAAGAAACUAGGCACUCGAAACUGCCUGGGUUUCUGGGUUACCCAGAAAACCCAGGAAUGCUCUGACAACAUAUUUAAAGGGCCAGAUCUUCAUGAUGUGUUGAUGUAUGACCUAGAUAUUGAUUGAAACUUGUAGUACUACACACCUACUACAAGAUCAAAGUUUUAGAAAGCCAAGAUAAUGCUUAGGCUGAGAAUUAAAGGAGGUCAAACCUUGACCCUUGAGAACUGGAUUGUCAGUGUUCUAGAGUUCAAGAACACCAACAGCGACAGAAAGUGUCGCUAUAGCCUAUAGCGACGGUUUCUAUUUUUUUUAUUUUCUAAAUUUCUGGAAAAUGAUUAAAAUAGAAAAUAAAUUCUAAAAAUUAUAAAAAUUGUUUUAAAAAUUAUUUUAAAUAAUGAAAAAUAACUUUUGACAAAUUGUGAUAUUUUUCAUUAAUAUUUAUAAUUAUUUGAAUAUUAAUUGUAUUUAAUUUAUUUAAUUAGUAUAUUAAAUAAAUUAGAGAAAAAUGAUUUUAAUAUUAUAAAAAUUAUUUUAAAUAAGAAUAAAGUGUUUUAAAAUAUUUUGAGAUAUAAAAUGUAACUUUUAAUAUUUUUGGAGAAUUUUUAUUAAUAAUUUAUUAUUAAUGAUAUUAGAUUUAUUUAAUUAUUAAAUUAAAUAAAUAAUGGAAAAAUGAUUUUAUUGAUUUAAAAAUCAUUUAAAAAUGAUUUAAAAAUAUUUUAAGUUAUAAUUAAUGACUUUUAAUAUUUUGAUAAGAAUUUCAUUAAUCUUUAAAUAUUAUGGUGAUGGUUUAAAAAUGAUUUUAAUUAUUUUAAAAAUCAUUUAAGGAGGAUAUUGAGGAAUUAAAAAUAUUCUAAGUUAAUAUUAAUAACUUUAAUAUUUUGAAAAAUAUGACAUUAAUAUUUUAAAUGUUAUUAAAUAUUAAUGAUGAUGGAUUUAUCAAUAUUUAAAUCAUUUAAAAAUGAUUUUGGUGUUUGAAAAAUUAUUAUAAAUUAUAAUAAUUGUUAGGAAAUUAUUAAAAGCUUCCGAAAAAUAUUAUAAAUGAUAUGUGACUUAUCUAAUAUAAUAUUGAAGAUUUGAGACCGAGUUUAGUUGACAAAAUAAUUGUUAAUUAUUGGAUAAGGUGACCAGUACACCGAGAAUAGACUGAAGUCCAACCAGACCGAACUAGUUAGACUUGAUGAGUGUUUAUAUAAGUUAUAAACACUGAUGUGACUAUGUGGUAAUGUGUCUAGGAGAAGUAUUGACUGUGAAUUAUAGUAUAGUGUGUUGUGAAUUAUGUUGCUAAUUGUGAGACCGAUAUUGUUGGUUAUAGGUCUUACAAAACGCAGAUAAGUAUAUUGUGUAGUAGAUAAGUAUAUUGGAUCGAGAAAGUGAUUAGAUAUUAAAAUCAUUGUAUUUCGUUGUUAUAAAUCAAACUCUGAUUAUAAGACUGAGAAGAACAACCUUUUAUACAAAGGGAACAUUUUUGGUCGUAUAUUCAGCCUUUACGCGCGUGUAAGUAUUAUGCAUAAUAUAGGGUACAAGGAGUUGGCCGCUCUAAGUACUUGUAGAGGGGUAUGACUUAAUCUUUAUGGUUAUCUGAUACACCUGGGUAUAUCAAAGUAUAUCUUUGAUAGUUACUCGAGAAGAGAAGUUCUAGAUCCUUUGUGAUUACUUAACAUAAAUUUUGGAAAAUAUUUCCAUCUUGUUAUUUGGGUAUAUCAAAGUAAAUCUUUGAUAGUUACUCGAUAAUAGAAUUUCAAAAUCAUUUAAGAUCAUUCAGUAUAAAUUCUGGAGAAUAUUUCUAAAUUGUUAUUCAAUUGAAUAUCGUAGAAACUUUGAAAGUGUUGUACCCUUUCAUUAUUAAACUAUUAUGUUGCAUAGGAUGUGAGAAAAUUGGUUAGAGAAGAACAAAUUGUUCAACUAUUUCAAAGUUCCCCGAACUUCGGUGUCAUUCUAUCAAAAUAGAUAGUCUGUUAUUCUUGAUUCUUAUACAUUCUUUGUAUGUCUUAAUUUGCGAAACAAAUUUGUUACUCACCCUUGAUAAAUAAAAUAUUUCAGCUAGGAACGAAGAGGCCAGUGGGACUAAGAAGAAGCAAAGGCAUAGUGAUGGAGUAGUUAUAAUGAACAUUAUUAUUAUGUUAUAUUUGUAAACCUUUUUUGUAUAUCUAAGGUUAAGUUUGUAAUAUUAAGGUUAGAUGACCUAGGAUGAUGUUGUUAACAUAUUAAUUAAUGAUAUGUAUGCUUGUAUUCAUCAAUGAAUGGGUAGUUAGACGUUAAUUAUAUUGUGGAUCGUGAGCACCAAACUCGGGGGUCAGGUAACCCGAAUUUGGGGGUGUCACAGGUUGGUAUCAGAGCUGUAGGUUAUAAACCUUAAGUGGGGUGGGGAAAACCCUAGGAUUAUAACCAUAAGCGAUAUAGAGAAUACUCAUUUAGAGUACUAAGUGAGGGAUUGCCAAAGCAUAUCAAUAAUGAGAUAUGUGGACACAUAGUGUGAGAAUAUUGUACUGGUGAGGUACUAAUCAAGUUGUUUAACUGACUAUAGGAUGUCCUGAGAAGAUGAAAUGAGUACGGAGAUGCCAGCGGUUGUUGUACCAGUACCAGUAGUCGAGCUGCCAGCACAAAGCGAGUCAGUUGAAGAAGUGGGGAAAGAUGAACCUAUGGUUAAUCUGGGAAGUGAUCAUGAUGAUUAUCCCGAGAUGUAUCUGAGUGGUGAUGAGGAGGCAUAGUUUGAAGAAGCUAAGGUUGAGAAAGAGAAUAAGACUAAAGUUGGAGAACAAGAUCAAGUAUCUGCAGAAGUAUAAGAACUCUGAAGAAAAGUAUUUCUCUUGGAGGAGUUGUAGAAGACAGAAAGGGUGUUACACGAAAUGACCGAAGAACGGAAUGAGUUUUAGGCACAUGUUGAAAGGAUGAUGACUAAAGGUGGUGGAUCUUCAGAGGGAACAAUUAAGCUGAAAGGAAAGAAUAAGAGAAAUAGGGAUCACGACAGUGAUAAUUCUGAAAAUUCAAACCUGAAGAAGAAGAAAAUCUGUAGCAAGUGUGAAAAGACUCACGUGGGAGAUUGCAUGAUGUGGAAGAACGUGUGUUUCAACUGUAAACAAGAAGGACAUAUUUCUUUACAUUGUCCUAAGUCGAAUAUGAGGAAGUGUUUUUCAUGUUGGAGAACGGGUCACAGAUUCAACAAGUGUCCCAACAAGAAGAUUACGAGUGAAGGGAGUGGACGGUAGAUAACCUAGAUAUAAGCAGUAGUAUCUUUUGGUAGUAGGUUAUGAUAUUAACGGUUGUAAUAUCGAGAAUGAUGUGUCAACAUAUGUAAAUAUAUAUGUUUGUAUGAAUGAAAUCUUUAUUUUCUAUAUGAAUAUAAGAUUAAUUUGUGAGUUCUUAAAACUUAUACUUAUGGUAAGUUCAUGACUCAUAAUUAUAUGAAAUGUUUCUGAACCCCUCAGCGAAUGGACACCAAAGGUCUGACUAGGAUAAGUUCAUACACUCAUAUAAUUAUGGCAAAUUCUUGAACUCAUAAGUGUGGUAAGUUUGACGAACUGGGAAUAGCUAUGUGUGAAUGGAGAAUUACAACUUUUUGUGUAAAGUUGGAGAAUUGUAACUUUUUGUGUAAAGUUGUUUGGGUUAAUCCUAAAAUUUAUUUAAAAUAGGAGAGUAAUAUGUGUUAAGUACUAAAUAUACUAUGUGCUAUUUGAAUAAAUAUGCGAUUAUAUGAGAACAUUGUGUUGAUUAAUAAGAAUUUGUGUAGAAUUAACGUAAGAUUUUUUAUUUAAAUCAGAUCAUGCCGCCUAGACGACAGAAUCGAAAUCAAAGAGAAGAGCAGUCAGUGAAUAAUGAAGGAGGUCAAGUGGACCCGAUGUAGAAUUUUGUGGACAUGUUAGCCCAAGUUAUGGGAAAUAGAGCCCCAGCAGAAAGAGCGAGAACAAGAAAUCAGUCAGCCGAUAGAUUGGCUAACUUUAAGGACUUUAAAGUAAGAAGACCACCAGAAUUCAAGGGAACCACGGAUCCGAUUGAAGCCCAAACUUGGGUGAAGGAGAUGGACAAAGAAUUCAUUAUUGCGCGAGUGGUAGAAGAGCAAAAGAUAGCUUUUGUAACAUACUUGAUGAAGGGAGAAGCCAAUUACUGGUGGGAGACUAAUCAGGCGAGAGUUGGCACACCUGUGGUAACUUGGACAAGAUUCAAGGAGUUGUUAUUUGAGAACUACUUUUCGUCAAAUAUGCAAGUUCGGAUAGAAGUUUAGUUUUUGGAAGUGAGGCAGGAGAACAUGUCGGUGUCUGAAUAUGCUGCUAAAUUCAACGAAUUUGCGAGAUUUGCACCUCAUCAGGUGGAUAUGGAAUUACGGAAGGCGAGAAAGUUUUAGAAUGGAUUGGAGUCGGGUAUAUACAACAAAGUAGUCGUAUUGCAGAUUAAUACGUUCGUGACUUUGUUGGAGAAAGCAAUAAUUUCUGAAGGGGGAAGCGAAGCUGCAUCCCAUUAUAAUCAGGAGAAGAAUAAGAAGACUACUGAAGGAGGUAGUAGUACUGGUAGUAAUCCGAACAAAAGAAAGUGGAGCGAGAAUACCCAGUCGGGUAACAAGACAGAAAAAAAUGAGAAAGGGAGAGAGCCAUCUGCAACUUGUGGGAAGAAUCAUGUAGGAAUUUGUCUGAAGAAGAAAGGAGUCUGUUAUAACUGUGGUCAAGAGGGACACAUGACACCCAAUUGUCCUAAUCUGAAGGAGAUACAAGGUUGUUUUGCAUGCGGAUCGACUGAUCGUAUGGUUCAAAACUGUCCAAAGAGAAAUGUGGAGAAAGAAAGUGUCAACAAGGGACCCGGUAGUGGAACCUUGGCGAUUAAAGGACCUGCACAGCCAGGAAGACCAACGGCCCGUACAUUCAACAUGACAGCGCCUUUGGAUUAAUGCAAAAACGGCUUUUUGUGCAACACAGUGGAUGCCCAGGAGGUGGCGACAGGUAAUGAUUUCGCUUAAUACUUAAAUUACGGGAGUAAUAUUGGUUAGAUAUCGCUGUGGAUUGUUUUCUUUUAUAGAUUCAAAUCACAAGUUAGAAUAUAAGACAUAAUUUAAUAUUGUGCUGAUAAAAAUGAAUUGAUGAUAUAACUUUAAAAGAUUGUAGGGUAUAAGAAAGCGGUGAUUCCGAGGACGGAAUCCUUAUAAGGAGGGGAGAAUGUAAUAACCCGAAAUUUUGAAUAAUCUAAAUUUUAUGAAUAAUUCUUUUUUACUUAAUAUUGAUAUUGACUAUUAAUAUUGUGAUGUGUAUCUAUGAUAUGAGUUGUUAGAAUUAGUCAAUUUGUGUAUUGAUUGAAAAAUAAGAGUAGAGUUGUGCUUAACUGAGAAUUUAAAACCCUAACCCUAAGCUCGGAUAGGGAUUCGAUAGAAAUCGUAAUUAUAAUAAAGGUAUCUGUGAGUACGCAUUUGUACUUUAUAGAGUACUUAUUGAUCAAUGAUUGAUCGGAUAGGGUUUAAAAUUAGUAAACCCUAAUAAGGGAUUAGAAACCCUAAUCUCAGGUUUAGAAACCCUAACGCACAAUUAGGAACCCUAAACGAAUGCCAGAAAACCCUAAUUUUAAUUCGAGAACUCUAAAUCCUAAUUAGAAAACCCUAAUCCUAAUUAGUAAACCCUAAAGUGAUUAGUAAACUUUAAUAUAAUUAGCAAACACUAAUUAUAUUUUAGUUAUUUUUUCUUUCUAUUUUAAAAACUCUAAUUAGAAAAUCUUAGAAACUAAAGUUGUAAAACCUAAGGGUUAGAACCUUAGGGUUAAACCCUAAGGGUUGAAUCAAAAGUCUAGUAUGCCAUUAAAAUUAUAAGGAGAAUGACCAUAAUACCCUUUUUACAUUCUUUAAUGAGUUAACUUAUAAAAUUUGCCAACGCCUUUAGUUGUUCACCAACUUUUGACUUAGCAUGUCCUAAAACUCCGACAAAUCAGCCUAGAUAUUCUGACCCUCUAAAAUUCUGGAAAAAUUUGAAAUGAUAUUUUGAUGAGUUUUCUAGACUGUGUCCAAAAAUGGCGAUUUUUGGACGUAUAGAUUAGGAGUUAUGAAUUUUAUGGGAAAAGACUAUUUUAAAAGUAAACCCUUAUAACUCCUUGUGGGUAACUCCAAAAUUGGUAAAAUUUUUAUUGGGAGUACAUAUAUAUAACAUGAGUAUACCCUGUAAAUUUCGAAAUUUUUGGACAAAAGUACAAUUUAUGAUAAAUGUCUAAAUAUUCGGCAGUUUUGGCCAUAUGAAAAAUAGUAAAUGAAUUUUAAAAAAUUCUGAGAAAAAUAUAUGUUCAAUAUAGGAAUAUAUUCUGCUAAAUCCCAGAAAAGAAAUAUUUUUGGGACUGAUUUGGUAUUUUUCAUGAAAAUGAACUAGUUAUGAGUAAAUGAAUUAAAUAUGUUAUGUGAAGUAACAAAAUUGGAAAAUAGGAUUUUAUGGCUUGGGAAUCCUAUAUAAGGUAUAUGCAAAUUUUUGAUGAGGGAUUUGAUAAUUGGUGAAAUCUUAUGAGUAUGGCAUUUUUGAAUGACUAAAUGCAUUAUUUGGUAAAGUAUAAACAAUUAAAAUAAAUUGUUUAUAAGUUUAAGAAGUGAUUAAAAUAUUGUUAUAAUAUUAAUAAUAUUAGAUUAUGAGUUUAUAAACUGAUUGAUAAUAUUUGGAUAAAAUUAAAGUCUUUAAUAUUUAUCCUUGUUUUCGUUUGAUUAAUGUUUAUAUCAUUGUCAUCAUCCUCAUUCUUAUAAUGUGAUGAAUGUCAUCUUUGGCUUACGUGCAAAGAUGGACUGUUGAUUAUUGAUUUUACAAUUGUAUAUCUUUGGCUUACGUGCAAAGAUAGACUGUUGAUUAAUGGUUUUAUAGUUAUAUAUCUUUGGCUUACGUGCAAAGAUGGACUGUUGAUUAUUGAUUUUACAAUUUUAUAUCUUUGGCUUACGUGCAUUGAUGGACAGUUGUUGGUAUGAUUAUAACCAGGGAUUAUUCGGUAUAAUCGUGACCAUUGUUGAAAACACGAAUAUUCUUGACCCGUAGUGCAUAGAUAAUUCGUGGUCGUAAUACUAGUGAAUAUCCUUGGCUGUAGUGCAGGAAUGAUUCAAUGAUGUGGAUUAUUUAUUAAGCUGAGUCUCAGCGAUAACAUAUUGAUAAUACACUUUUAAUUCGUAAAAGAUAGUAGAUAUCAUGCUCUACUUGACUUUUCUAAUGGAUUGCUUGUUCCGCUGCAACUAUGGUUGAAAAGUUUUAUCAUCUACCAUAUGUUUUAAAUCUCUAAUUUAUUACUGAUGAAGGCUAUUGAUGAUGUAAAUUAUCUUUAGUCAUGAUAUUCUUUACUGGGCUAGUUGUGCUCACCCUUUUUGCUUCACAAUUCCUUUAAGGUAAUAAGAGUGUAGCUGGGUCGAGCGGGGGUAACAGGAGAACAUAACGGUGGUCUAUAGUUGUUGAGGUUCUCCUUAAAUAGUAUGAAAAUAAUUUUAUUGAGAACUUUAGAUAAGUGUGUCGUAUUGUAUACGUCAUUUGAUAUUUAAUUUUGGUGAACCGAAUAGGGUGAGAUGAACCCAACUUUGGAAGGGUGUUUUGCCACUAUCAUAUAAGAUGUCUAAUGACAUACAACCUAGUGUUAUCAUAAGACAGGGUUGUGCAUAUCCACUUGCUGAGUAUAUCUACGAGUACUACCUAUAUGAUAUUGGAGUUUAUUUGAAAUAUAAUUUUCACUUGGAGACAGUGGAGAUAGUUAUAUGUCAAGAGAAGACUCACCAUUGGAAAGAAGAUGAUAGCAAUCUUUUUGUUUUUCUUUGGGGACUAUUGGGUCAACGAAAGAUAAUUCUGUGGACAUAUGAUAUCUAUCAUAACCUAGACGCAUGGCCUCCCAUGUACAAAGAUUUCCUUGAGCACUUCCCAAAGAUUUUAAUUUCUAAAACAGUUAUGGACUGUACUUUUAUGUAAGGUACCAUUGUAAGGUUGUGGUCAAGGCACCAUUAGAGUUACAUACAUUUAUAUUAAAACUCAUAGUUUAACUGUGGUCGUAUUCUGCAUGACAGUUCAACAGUUGUAUAAAUGAAGUUUGUAUUUGAUUUUUAUAGUAUGAUAUCUGGCGACUCAGAAUGGGUCGUGUGGACCUAUUUUGGGGGCGUCACAAUUUCUCUCUAUGAUAAUUGCUCUAAGGUUUUAGUGAAUUAGUGAGAAAUGAAGGAAGAAUGAGCUUCUAUUUAUAGGAAAAUAUAGUUUCGAUAAUUGCACGUUUUGGGGCUCGAAAUAUUAUAGUACAAUACCUCCAACUUUUCUUUCAUUUUUAAUUUAGUCCUGCAAGUAUUAUUAAACUUGCACCACCUCCCCUAAUAGUAAAUAAUGUGAAUCAAUAGUUCAAUCAUGUGAAUCAAUAGUUAUAAUCAUGUGAAAAUACGAAUUACAGUAUAGUACCUCCAUCUAUACCUCCAUUUUUAACUUAGUCAUGCAAGUAUUAUCAAUCUUGCACCAACUCCCCUAAUAGUACAAGAAUGUGAAUCAAUAGUACACACAUGUGAACAAAUAGUUAUAAUCAUGUGAAUUAAUAGCAAUUAAUUGCUCAUUUAUCCGGUUAAUUACCCGAUUGGUCAAUAUAACCUCCAGACAUCAAUUAUUAUCGAAAUAAAUGUCGAUUUCCACUAACACUAAUAAUUCCAACACAAUGGAACUAUCAAUUUCAUCUUUAAUCAACACGAACUUAUUCAUCAUUAAUAUUAUAACUCACAAUAUUUAACAACCAGGUCGUUCCCAGGAAAGAGGGGGCUUUCCGAUAAGGAUUUCUCCUUAUUGACGCGCAAUUAGGUGACCAAACCUCUCCUUGACAGAACUUCUAGACAUUGUCAAUAUUACAAAUAAUAAUAUGAAUAACUUUGUCGUCUCAAUUAUUGAUUUAAUAAUAUAUAAAAUAUUAUGCAGAUGAUACUGUUACAAUAAUUGAAUCAAUAAUAUGAGAGAUAUGAUGCAGCAAUUAUUAUAGCAAUAAUUGAGUAUAACUGAGUGACUUCUCACAUAAGCAUCAAUAAUCAAUACCGUGUGCUACUAUGCAACCACGCGUAUUAUUGUACUUUUAUCAAUUUAACCAUUUACUAAAUAGAAUAAUAAUUAUAAAAAUUGAAUACUUUUAUUUCGUAAAAUUCGGGAUCUUACAGAGAUAGUCUAAGCGCCAGCUAAGCCAAGUCAAGAAUCGCAGUCAGCUCUCGAAAAUGUGGAGUCUGUAAAACGAGUAAGUAGAGAUCGUAGUCUAUCAGAGCUUAAAAGAAAUCGUAGUGUUCUCUUUGAUCAAGGCUGAUCAAGCACGAGCAUGAUAAGACACAACGAUCAUGGUAAAAAGAUAAUAAUCGUGGUGUCUCUCUAGUCAGCAUCAAAAGCACCAAGUUUCAUUUAUUUGAUGAUGGAGGAAGUAUAACAAAUGAAGAAUGGCUUAUAGACAUUGACAUUUCAGGAAUCCCAAUGAUCCAACACUCAUCCUUAGUAUGUAUCGAAAAAGUGUAUAGAAGAAGCUAAGGAAAGGACUGCAUGCCUACUAAAAACAUAUUUUCAGGUGUUAGGUGAAAAAGCAGUUUGCUGUGUCAAUGGGCCAGAUGGCAGAACAACAGAUUUCUAGGAAGUCAACAUCAGUGCUCAAAAAUGUCUGAAGCAUUAAAUGCUACAACGGAUGCCUUCAACGUAAACAUUUCAAAGGCUCCUUCAUAAGCAAAUUAGAUAGAGAUUGAAAAAAAGAACAAGCAAGAACAAAAAAGCUCAAGAACUCUUAACGUUCAAACUUUAUGAUCAAGAAAGAAAAGCUUGCACAACUACUCAGUUCUUUCGAACGUAUGCUUAACUGCAACUGAGUAGCAUAACCCAAGAACUCAACUCUCAUCAAGUGUAUUCCAAGUCUACUGGACUUAAAGAGUUCUAAGUGAACUAAGAAGUUCUAAAACUGCCGGCCUUGAAGGAAUCUAAGUGAUUUAAAGAUUGUAAGGAUAUCCUUAGUGAAUUUCCUACUCGUAGAGUAGAAGAGUGGACUAGGAGCCUUGAGUGCUCUGAACCACUUAAAAUCACUAUGUAUGAUAUAUCUGCUAUAACUGUUAUAUCUGUCAUACCUGCUUAUCACCUAUAAACUUGGUUUAUCUUAAAGAGGAAUAAACAAAUCAUAUAUUCCAUUGUGGUUAAUUUAUUAACAAAUCUGAUAAGUAUUUUGAAAAGGAAGAAGUUUUAAAAUAUCUAUUCAACCCCCUUUCUAGAUAAGUAUUGUGCCUCUAGGAACUAACAUAUUUAAAACAAUUUUGAAUAAAAACCUAUGGAGAGGAUUCUACCCGUAUAAGAAAAAGCAUACUACUUAAGUAUUGUUAUCAUCAAAAUAAACCUAAAGAUUUGAAGGCCUAUCAAUCUCCUCCUUUUUGAUGAUGACUGUGACACCCCCAAAAUAGGUAUACAUCACCCAUCUUGAGCCGUCAAAUACAUGGUACAAAAAUACAAAUAUAACUUAAUAAUACAACUGUCGUGUAAAAUACGACAAAAUAUAAACUGAGAGUUUUAAUAAGAAUAUUGUCAUCUAGACAAUAUCGACACUCAAUGGAGUCCUCAUUACAUUUAUUGUCACACUAUUUAACAGAAUAGUGAGGACUACUAAUGCUAUCAUCUGGACCGUCACUCCGUUCCCCGACUCGUCUCAGCUAAAUUCUCAUUUCCUGAAGAGAGCAGUGAAAGAAAAGGGUGAGCUCAACUAGACCAGUAAGAAAUAUCGUGACUAAGAUAAUGCAGAAUAAAUUAUCAUUAGUCUUCAACAAUGUUAAACUGAUAAAAUAUAAUAGACAUCAAGUUUAACUGCAGCGGAACAAGCAAUCCAUUAGAAGAGUCAAGUAGAGAAUAAAAUCUACUAUCUACUAUCAUUUAAAAAGUUUUCAUCAAUUUUUAUCGCUGAGACUCAGCUCAACAAAUAAACCACAUCAUCGAGUCAUCCCUGCACUACAGGCCAAGGAUAUUCAUUAAAUCAUCCAUGGUCAUGACUGUACCGAAUAAUCCCUGGUCAUAAUCAUACCAAAAAAUGUCCAUCAAUGCACUACAGGCUACUAAGGACUUUUACCACCUCAUUUAUAACAUUACAGGUCAAGAUUAUACCGAAUGAUCCCUGGUCAUAAUCAUACAAAGUCCAUCUAUGCACGUAAGCCAAAGAUGACUUUUAUCACAAUAUAAGCAUGACGAUGAUGACAAUGACAUAAUAAUUCAAUAAAACAAGUUCAAGAAUAAAUUUUAAAGAUUUAUAAGUUAAUUUAUCCUGAACUCAAUAAUUUCCAAAUUGUCAACAUGAUACUUCUUUGUGGAGUAAAAAUUCAAGAAUGUUCAGAAGAAUAUUUCCAUUAAAAGAUACUAGAUGAAGCGCAAAUAUCAAGGAUAUUCCACUAAUUUCAUGGAGUAUAAAAGUCAAAGCUUUAACCAACUGAGUAUAAGAGAAUAUACGAAACUACAAAUGGAUUUUCGUCCGCCACGCGGUACUCCACUUAGACAGAUCAUUUCCAUAAUUUAAUAAGGAAUUAAUACAAAGGUUCAUUCACCAUGCAUGUGAUAAUCCACAUAGACAGGUUAUUCCAACAGAAUGAUAAAGAAUGGAAUAACAGAAGAAAUCAUCAUGCAUGCGAUAGACCGCACAGAUAGGUUAUUCCAACAGAAUAAUAAAGAAUGGAACCAGGUCAUGCGUAAAUGCACUGACAGGAUAUUCCGACAGAAUAAUAAAUAAUGAAACCAGGUCCGACGUAAACACACAGACAGGAUAUUCCGACAGAAUAAUAAAGAAUGUUGGCAUAUAGCUUGUUUUCACGAAGCUUUUGAAGUAUCAGCCUCAAGUGUUGCUCAUGGUCUUCACGGGUUUUGGAAUAAAUGAGGAUGUCAUCAAUAAAGACGACCACAAAGUGAUCCAAAUAUUCCUUGAAUACUCGGUUCAUCAUAUCCAUGAAGGCAGCAGGAGCAUUAGUCAAUCCAAAAGACAUGACUAUGAAUUUAUAAUGCCCAUACCGAGUUCUGAAAGCAGUCUUUGGAAUGUCAUCAGUUUUAAUCUUCAACUGAUGAUAACCAGAACGAAGAUCGAUCUUUGAAAAAGAAUUUGGAGCCUUAUAACUGGUCAAACAGAUCAUCAAUACGAGGUAACGGGUACCUAUUUUUGAUGGUGACAUAAUUUAACUCCCGAUAAUCAAUACAAAGUCGCAUACUUCCAUCUUUCUUCUUCACGAAUAGAACAGGAGCAUCCCAAGGAGACGUACUAGGACGAAUGAAACCGAUGUCUAACAAUUCCUGUAGUUGGGUUUUUAACUCCUGAAGUUCAAUANNNNNNNNNNNNNNNNNNNNNNNNNNNNNNNNNNNNNNNNNNNNNNNNNNNNNNNNNNNNNNNNNNNNNNNNNNNNNNNNNNNNNNNNNNNNNNNNNNNNNNNNNNNNNNNNNNNNNNNNNNNNNNNNNNNNNNNNNNNNNNNNNNNNNNNNNNNNNNNNNNNNNNNNNNNNNNNNNNNNNNNNNNNNNNNNNNNNNNNNNNNNNNNNNNNNNNNNNNNNNNNNNNNNNNNNNNNNNNNNNNNNNNNNNNNNNNNNNNNNNNNNNNNNNNNNNNNNNNNNNNNNNNNNNNNNNNNNNNNNNNNNNNNNNNNNNNNNNNNNNNNNNNNNNNNNNNNNNNNNNNNNNNNNNNNNNNNNNNNNNNNNNNNNNNNNNAGUGGAUGUAAUGAAGGUUUCUCCCAACGGAGUUUCAACAGAUAAGUCAAAGUCUAAUUUCUCCGGAGUCAAAUUUAAACGUUGAGCGCAAGUAGGAGAAAUGAAAGAAUGGGUAGAACCAGUAUCAAAUAAAGUAUAAACUUAGCUAGAGUUUAUGAUUAGCUUACCCGUGAUCACCUCGUUCGGAUUCCUCACUUUUUGGGAGGUUACGACAAACGCUUUCCCUUGAACUACCGGUUUUGUCUUGUCUGGGACCCCCUUUGAUGCCUCCAUCCCAGCUGGACUUGACUUUGGUACAUGGCAAAAUCGGGCUAGGUGGCCUUCUUUUCCACAAUUAUAACAUGCUUUGGACUGCAUCGUGCAGUUUGGACUUAUGUGUCCUUCCCCUCCACAUUUGUAACAUACGACCGGCGGUCGUUCUUCUUCCUUAACAGCGAGUGUUGGUGUUGAUGUCUUUCAAUCUUUGCUGAACCUUCUCUUCUUUAACUUUCCACUCUUAUUGUCUUGGCCAUGAUUACCACCGAAGUGGUUAUCAUUUCUGGCAGGUUGAUUCCCUCCGCAUUUGUUGUCACCGCUUCGAUGACUGCUACCACUGGUAUUAUCAACUUGUCGGCUGCUCUCUCUUGGUUGGGUUGACUCAUUAUCACGCUCUAAUAACUGAGCCCUAUUCACAACAUCUGAAUACAAACAUAGUUUAUGAGAGAUAAGGUAUUGACGUAUCUUGAGUUUUAAACCUCUUAAAAAUAUCCGCUUCAUUCUCUACUCAUUAUCAACCAAGUGGGACGCAAACCGAGACAACUCGGCAAACUUAGCUUCGUACUGCACCACGGUCAUAUUAUUUUGCUCAAGCUUGAUGAACUCUACCUCCUUCAUAUGACAAAUACUUUCAGGAAAGUACUUGUCGUUGAACAGCUCUUGGAAUUUCUCACAAGACAUCUUCAGUACGACAGGUUGUGUACGCUUUACAGAUUCCCACCAGUAAUCUGCCUCUGCACGCAACAUGAAGGUGGCAAAGGGAAUCUUUUGCUCCUCGGAGCAUCCCAAGACAUCAAAUAUCUUAUUGAUCUGCUUUAUCCACGUAUCCGCCUUAAGUUGUUUUGGCUCUUCAAAAAAACUCUGGUGGUCCCAGCUCCUUGAACUGCUUAGCGGUGACCGUCCGAGAGUUGUCAGUGUUUCCACUUGUAUUUUGGACAGGAGCCGCCUUAGCCUGAUGUUGCAUAAAUUGCAUAAAACCUCUGAACAUCCCAUCGUUCACCAUUUCAUCGGUGUUAUUGUUUUCAUGAGGAUUAUUGUUUUCCUGUUGCACAUUAGCCUGGGCAUUGAUCGUUGGUGACUCAACGGACUCAUGUCCUUCAUUGCUUAUCUCAACAUUUUUGGAUGCCAUUUUCAAAUACUGCAACAAAACAAGGGUUAAUUAACAUAUCACAUAUUAUCCCAAUACUUUGACCGACCAAUUAAAUAACACAUAAGCUUAGGUAGGUCAUACUAGCGAAGGAAUUCCCCGUCUCUCCCCUCCUAGUUCUUAUCUCACAUCUCAGUCAGGGAUCAUAUCCCUAGCUUUGAUACCAACUGUGACGCCCCCAAAAUAGGUAUACAUCACCCAUCUUGAAUCGCCAAAUACGUGGUACAAAAAUACAAAUACAACUUAAUAAUACAACUGUCGUGUAAAAUACGACAAAACAUAAAUUGAGAGUUUUAAUAAGAAUAUUGUCAUCUAGACAAUAUCCACACUCAAUGGAGUCCUCAUUACAUUUAUUGUCACACUAUUAAACAGAAUAGUGAGGACUACUAAUGCUAUCAUCUGGACCAUCACUCCGUUCCCCGACUCGUCCCAACUAUAUUCUCAUUUCCUGAAGAGAACAGUGAAAGAAAAGGGUGAGCUCAACUAGCCCAGUAAAAAUAUCGUGACUAAGAUAAUGCAGAAUAAAUUAUCAUUAGUCUUCAACAAUGUUAAACUGAUAAAAUAUAAUAGACAUCAAGUUUAACUGCAGCGGAACAAGCAAUCCAUUAAAAGAAUCAAGUAGAGAAUAAAAUCUACUAUCUACUAUCAUUUAAAAAGUUUUCAUCAAUUUUUAUCGCUGAGACUCAGCUCAACAAAUAAACCACAUCAUCGAGUCAUCCCUGUACUACGGGGCCAAGGAUAUUCAUUAAAUCAUCCAUGGUCAUGACUAUACCGAAUGAUCCCUGGUCAUAAUCAUACCAAAAAAAUGUCCAUCAAUGCACUACAGGCUACUGAGGACUUUUACCACCUCAUUUAUAACAUUACAGGUCAUGAUUAUACCGAAUGAUCCCUGGUCAUAAUCAUACAAAGUUCAUCUAUGCACGUAAGCUAAAGAUGAAUUUUAUCACAAUAUAAGCAUGAGGAUGAUCACAAUGACAUAAUAAUUCAAUAAAACAAGUUCAAGAAUAAAUUUUAAAGAUUUAUAAGUUAAUUUAUCCUUAACUCAAUAAUGUCCAAAUUGUCAACAUGAUACUUCUUUGUGGAGUAAAAAUUCAAGAAUGUUUAGAAGAAUAUUUCCAUUAAAAGAUACUGGAUGAAGCACAAAUAUCAAGGAUAUUCCACUAAUUUCAUGGAGUAUAGAAGUCAAAGCUUUAACCAACUGAGUAUAAGAGAAUAUAUGAAAUUGCAAAUGGAUUUUUGUCCUCCACGCGGUACUCCAUUUAGACAGAUCAUUUCCACAAUUUAAUAAGGAAUGAAUACAAAGGUUCGUUCACCAUGCAUGUGAUAAUCCACAUAGACAGGUUAUUCCAACAGAAUGAUAAAGAAUAGAAUAAUAGGAGAAAUCACCAUGCAUGUGAUAGACCGCACAGACAGGUUAUUCCAACAGAAUAAUAAAGAAUGGAACCAGGUCAUGCGUAAACGCACUGACAGGAUAUUCCGACAGAAUAAUAAAUAAUGGAACCAGGUCCGGCGUAAACGUACAGACAGGAUAUUCUGACAGAAUAAUAAAUGAUGGAAUCAGGUCCGGCGUAAACGCACAGACAGGAUAUUCCAACAGAGUAAUAAAGAACGGAAUAAUAAAAGAAUUUCACCAUGUAUGUGGUACUUCUCUUCUUCUUUCUCUUUAUAGAUUUUCCCUCUAUAGCUUCUCUCUAUAAUUUCUCUCUAUAAUAAUUGUUCUAUAGCUUUAGUGAAUUGGAGAGAAAUGAAGGAAGAAUGAGCUUCUAUUUAUAGAAAAAUAUAGUUUUGAUAAUUGCACGUUUUGGGGCUCGAAAAAUUACAGUACAAUACCUCCAACUUUUCUUUCAUUUUUAAUUUAGUCCUGCAAGUAUUAUCAAACUUGCACCACCUCCCCUAAUAGUAAAUAAUGUGAAUCAAUAGUUCAAUUAUGUUAAUCAAUAGUUAUAAUCAUGUGAAAAUACGAAUUACGGUAUAGUACCUCCAUCUAUACUUCCAUCUUUAAUUUAAUCAUACAAGUAUUAUCAAUCUUGCACCAAUUCCCCUAAUAGUAUAAGAAUGUGAUUCAAUAGUACACACAUGUAAACAAAUAGUUAUAUAAGCAUGUGAAUUAGUAGCAAUUAAUUGAUCAUUUAUCCGAUAAAUUCCCUGAUUUAUCAAUAUAACCCCCAGACAUCAAUUAUCAUCUGAAUAGAUGUCGAUUACCACUAACACUAAUAAUCCCAACACAAUGGAACUAUCAAAUUCAUCUUUAAUCAACACGAACUUAUUCAUCAUUAAUAUUAUAACUCACAAUAUUUAACAACCAGGUCGUUCCCAGGAAAGAGGGGGCUUUCCAAUAAGGAUUUCUCCCUAUUGGCGCGCAAUUAGGUGACCAAACCUCUCAUUGACAGAACUUCUAGACAUUGUAAAUAUUGCAAUUUAAUAAUAUGAAUAACUUUGUCGUCUCAAUUAUUGAUUUAAUAAUAUAUCAUAUAAUGCAGAUGAUACUGUGACAAUAAUCGAAUCAAUAAAAUGAGAGAUAUGAUGCAACAAUUACUGUAGCAAUAAUUGAGUAUAACUGAGUGACUUCUCACGUAAGCAUCAAUAACCAAUACCGUGUGCUACUAUGCAACCACGCGUAUUAUUAUACUUUUACUACCGGGUAGUUCAACAGUUUUAACGGUAACACUUCCGCCGUUAUUUUUAUAACAAGAUAAUUUUGUCGUUUUUUUACUACGACAAUACUUCCAUUGUGGGGUCCACCAAUGAUUGUGUCGUCGUACGAAUAUUCCCCGACUAAUCGAAUAUUAUAUAACCACUUGCUUACUUUGCAAAAUUUGUAAAUAUUACCCACAACUAUAACAUUAUAUCAUAUCCACACCAUAAUAUUCAAAAAUAUAUUUCGAAAGAAAUUAAUCUUUAUUCAUAAAAGUUGGGGUCUUGCAAUGACAAUAUAUAAAAAUAUUUUUCUAUAUAACUGCUCCCCCUUAGUUUAUGCAUACAUCAAAAUUUAAAAUUUUGGAACGCAGCAGUGUAUAGCAGUUAUGGCAGUUUUAAAUAUCAUACUUAGCAUAGUAUAAUAUUUUUCUUCUCCCCCUUUGUCAUUACAAAAAUUGGGGGUGGUCUAGAAAAAUUGUUCAGAACCUGUAGAAGAGUUGUUAAACAAAAUAAUUUCAACCUACAGACAAGAGAGUGUCAAAGGAUAAUGAUAAAAGUCUACAAAAAGUGUUAGGUUUGAGUUAAGUACAGUCAUCCUAAAUAGUUAGUAGUAUAUGUAUAUAUAUAAGUACAAUCUUCUGAAAUAGUUAGAAUUAAGGAAUAGGAGAAAAAUGUAGACCAAGUGUUGGAAGAUUAACAUCUAGAGGAGUUUGAGUUAGUUGUUCGGCUUUACUCGAGCAGGUACUGGCAGAGAAAUGGAAUGAAGGUAUAGAAACUUUCAAAUUUUCCAUUAACAUGUAGACCACAUCUCUCAGAUGAUGUACAAAAAUUUGUAAAGACUCUAUCUGAGUCAAUAGAACAGUUUGAUUUUGUAAAGACAUUUGACACAUGUUGUGCAAAGAAUUUAUUUCUGAGAUCAGGUUCAAAUGGGAUUCAGUGUAUUCAUGAUCAUUGGGUUUGAAAAUUAUCAGUGGUCUAGGAGGGAUGGUUAGAUGUGACACUAUGUUACUGUUGUGUACUAGUUGGAUGUGGUGAGUGUGAACAUCAAUAUCCAAGUGUUGAAAAAUAGAUGUGAGGAGUAGACCAUAACCCAAACAAUUGUUGUGAUAACAAAACUUAAAUGAUGUAAGUAGUAAAUAUGGAAAAUUUAAGGCAUAUUUUGAGUUAAAAUACACUUCAUCAGUUCCAAGUCAAAAGGAUGUAACAGUUUAUCAUCUCUAACAUGCAUAACAUUUUGUCUGAACAUUUUUCUGAGAAAUUGACAUUAAGUAGUCAGAAAAUCAAGACCAAUCUUUGAUGGAAAAUCAAAUAGAUGAGUAGGUACCAGUUGGUCUGUAACGGUGGCUAAAUUAUGCUUGAAAGUGAUUCAUUGACUAGUGGAUGUGCCUAUUGGAUGAGUGUAAGCAUUUGUUUUUGAAAGUUCUAGCAUGUUGUUUCCUAGAUGUAAUGCAUGAAAAAGAAGUAAUUCAUCAAUGACAUAAGAUUGUCCUUCUAAGAUAGUACAAAUACCAGUUAAGGUACCAGUUGAAUCUCGAAUAAAAUUCAUAUGAUAAUAAAAUUCAACAAUAAGAGCUGGAUAAAUUUGUUUAUCAGUGAAAGUAAUUAAACACUCCCAUCCCACAUUUUUGAUUUUUUUAAAUAUGUGAGGAAAGUUGUUAAAGGAAGUUAUUAUGCUUGGUGUGAGACUGUGUCUUAUGUGCCUAUACUUGACUUAUGCUGAGGAAGUAACUAGUUGAGGUGCAUAAGUGUCAGGAUGUAACUCAGAUAAAAGUGGGAGUUUCCUUUGUUUAGAAGAGUAAACAGGGUCCAUUUAUGACAACAAGUGAUGUAAACAGAAAGAGGAUAGAAACAGUUACCAGGUGAUGAACGAAAAUAAACCAUGUAUGCAGUAAACAUGUGGAGUUUCCAUUUAUAGAAGGAUACUGUGACAGAUAGGGCAAGAAUUAAACAAAGGGAUGUAAGCAUUUAUUUAUCUAACAUAGACAAUUCAGAUAUAAGGACCAAGGAAAAUACAUAUCUGCAGAAAACAUUGAGUAGCCAUAGUUGGUGUCUAAUUAAUUUAAUGUUUUGCAAAAAAAAUCUUUUUAUUUAAGAAAAAAUCAAGAGAGAGAUAGAGACCAGUCAUAUACAGUAAAUAUUACCAUAUAUUUUAAAAGAAUAUGUUUUGAAAAAUAGAGAGAUUAAUUCGAACAUGUCUAAUCAGUAAGAGCAACUCCAGCAGGCCGGAGUUGCCAAAUUCGUAGACUAUAUUUGUGACGCCCCCAAAAUAGGUAUACAUCACCCAUCUUGAGUCGCCAAAUACAUGGUACAAAAAAUACAAAUACAACUUAAUAAUACAACUAUCGUGUAAAAUACGACAAAACAUAAACUGAGAGUUUUAAUAAGAAUAUUGUCAUCUAGACAAUAUCCACACUCAAUCGAGUCCUCAUUACAUUUAUUGUCACACUAUUUAAUAGAAUAGUGAGGACUACUAAUGCUAUCAUCUGGACAGUCACUCCUUUCCCAGACUCGUCCCAGCUAUAUUCUCAUUUCCUGAAGAGAACAGUGAAAGAAAAGGGUAAGCUCAACUAGCCCAGUAAGAAAUAUCGUGACUAAGAUAAUGCAGAAUAAAUUAUCAUUAGUCUUCAACAAUGUUAAACUAAUAAAAUAUAAUAGACAUCAAGUUUAAUUGCAGUGGAACAAGCAAUCCAUUAGAAGAGUCAAGUAGAGAAUAAAAUCUAUUAUCUACUAUCAUUUAAAAAGUUUUCAUCAAUUUUUAUCACUGAAACUCAGCUCAACAAAUAAACCACAUCAUCGAGUCAUCCCUGCACUACGGGCCAAGGAUAUUCAUUAAAUAAUCCAUGGUCAUGACUAUACCGAAUAAUCCCUGGUCAUAAUCAUACCAAAAACUGUCCAUCAAUGCACUACAGGCUACUGAGGACUUUUACCACCUCAUUUAUAACAUUACAGGUCAUGAUUAUACCGAAUGAUCCCUGGUCAUAAUCAUACAAAGUUCAUCUAUGCACGUAAGCCAAAGAUGACUUUUAUCAUAAUAUAAGCAUGACGAUGAUGACAAUGACAUAAUAAUUCAAUAAAACAAGUUCAAGAAUAAAUUUUAAAAAUUUAUAAGUUAAUUUAUCCUGAACUCAAUAAUGUCCAAAUUAUCAACAUGAUACUUCUUUGUGGAGUAAAAAUUCAAGAAUGUUCAGAAAAAUAUUUUCAUUAAAAGAUACUAGAUGAAGCGCAAAUAUCAAAGAUAUUUCACUAAUUUUAUGGAGUAUAGAAGUCAAAGCUUUAACCAACUAAGUAUAAGAGAAUAUAUAAAACUACAAAUGGAUUUUCGGCCGCCACGCGGUACUCCACUUAGACAGAUCAUUUCCAUAAUUUAAUAAGGAGUGAAUACAAAGGUUCAUUCACCAUGCAUGUGAUAAUCCACAUAGACAGGUUAUUCCAACAGAAUGAUAAAGAAUGGAAUAACAGAAGAAAUAAUCAUGCAUGCGAUAAACCGCACAGACAGGUUAUUCCAACAUAAUAAUAAAGAAUGAAACUAGGUCAUGCGUAAACAUACUGACAGGAUAUUCCGACAGAAUAAUAAAUAAUGGAACCAGGUCCGGCGUAAACGCACAGACAGGAUAUUUCGACAGAAUAAUAAAUGAUGGAACUAGGUCCGGCGUAAACGCACAGACAGGAUAUUUCGACAGAGUAAUAAAGAACGGAAUAAUAGAAGAAUUUCACCAUGUAUACGGUACUUCGCAUAAACAGGUUAUUCCAACAUAAUAAUGAAGAAUGGAAUAACAGAAUAAUUUCACCAUGUAUGCGGUACUUUGCAUAAAUAGGUUAUUCCAACAGAAUAAUAUGGGAUGGAAUAACAAUAGCUCUCUUCAUGAAUACGAAAGAAAUAAUACCCCUUACCUCAGAAGAAACUGGAUACUGGAAUAGUGACGUAGCAGGCUUCUCUUCUUCUUUCUCUUUAUAGAUUUUCCCUCUAUAGCUUCUCUCUAUAAUUUCUCUCUAUAAUAAUUGUUCUAUAGCUUUAGUGAAUUGGAGAGAAAUGAAGGAAGAAUGAGCUUCUAUUUAUAGAAAAAUAUAGUUUUGAUAAUUGCACGUUUUGGGGCUCGAAAAAUUACAGUACAAUACCUCCAACUUUUCUUUCAUUUUUAAUUUAGUCCUGCAAGUAUUAUCAAACUUGCACCACCUCCCCUAAUAGUAAAUAAUGUGAAUCAAUAGUUCAAUUAUGUUAAUCAAUAGUUAUAAUCAUGUGAAAAUACGAAUUACGGUAUAGUACCUCCAUCUAUACUUCCAUCUUUAAUUUAAUCAUGCAAGAAUUAUCAAUCUUGCACCAAUUCCCCUAAUAGUAUAAGAAUGUGAUUCAAUAGUACACACAUGUGAACAAAUAGUUAUAUAAGCAUGUGAAUUAGUAGCAAUUAAUUGAUCAUUUAUCCGAUAAAUUCCCUGAUUUAUCAAUAUAACCCCCAGACAUCAAUUAUCAUCUGAAUAGAUGUCGAUUACCACUAACAUUAAUAAUCCCAACACAAUGGAACUAUCAAAUUCAUCUUUAAUCAAUAUGAAAUUAUUCAUCAUUAAUAUUAUAACUCAUAAUAUUUAACAACCAGGUCGUUCUCAGGAAAGAGGGGGCUUUCCAAUAAGGAUUUCUCCCUAUUGGCGCGCAAUUAGGUGACCAAACCUCUCCUUGGCAGAAGUUCUAGACAUUAUAAAUAUUACAAUUUAAUAAUAUGAAUAACUUUAUCGUCUCAAUUAUUGAUUUAAUAAUAUAUCAUAUAGUGCAGAUGAUACUGUGACAAUAAUCGAAUCAAUAAUAUGAGAGAUAUGAUGCAAUAAUUACUGUAGCAAUAAUUAAGUAUAACUGAGUGACUUCUCACGUAAGCAUCAAUAACCAAUACCGUGUGCUACUAUGCAACCACGCGUAUUACUAUACUUUUACUACCGUGUAGUUCAACAGUUUUAACGAUAACACUUUCGCCUUUAUUUUUAUAACAAGAUAAUUCUGUCAUUUUCUUACUACGACAAUACUUCCGUUGUGGGGUCCACCAAUGAUUGUGCCGUCGUAUGAAUAUUCCCUGUUAAAACGAAUAUUCCCCGACCAAUCGAAUAUUAUAUAACCACUUGAUUACUUUGCAAAAUUUGUAAAUAUUACCCACAACUAUAACAUUAUAUAAUAUUCACACCAUAAUAUUCAAAAAUAUGUUUCGAGAGAAAUUAAUCUUUAUUCAUAAAAGUUGGGGUCUUACAACCUCCCCUUCUUAUGAAAUUUCGUCCUCGAAAUUAGGGUGUGUACCUGGUAUAUCGAAGAGGUGAGGAUAUCUUGACUUCAUCUCAGAUUCUAACUCCUAGGUCAUUUCUUCCACAUCGUGAUUUCUCCACAAAACUUUGACUUGAGGUAUAACCUUGGAGCAUAGAAUAUGAUCCUUCUUUUCCAAGAUUUUAACAAGUAACUCUUCAUACGUUAAAUCUUCCUCUAUCUCGUCUGGUUCUAAUUCAAUAAUGUGAUUCGGGUCUUUCACAUAUUUACGUAACAUAGAUAUGUGGAAAACGUUAUGAACAUGAGACAUACUUGGCGGUAAGGCGAGUCUAUAGGCCACAGUUCCUACUCGUUCGAGUAUUAUAAAUGGGCCAAUGAAUCGAGGAUUGAGUUUUUCUCUCUUUCCAAAUCUUGUAACUCCUUUCCAUGGAGCAACACGUAACAACACAUGAUCUCCAAUAUUGAAUUCCACGUCCUUUCGAUAAAGAUCAGCAUAACUCUUUUGUCGAUCUUGUGAGGUUUUUAUACGUUGUCGGAUUGUUUGAAUCUUUUCCGUAGUCAUACGUACCAAAUCCGGUCCCAACAACAUUGCUUCACCCACCUCAUCCCAACAUACUGGAGAACGACACUUUCUUCCAUAUAACGCCUCAAAUGGAGCCAUGCCAAUACUUGCUUGAUAACUAUUGUUGUAGGAAAACUCCACCAAUGGUAAGAACUUAUUCCAACUUCCCUUGAAGUCAAGGACACAUAGUCUUAAUAAAUCCUCAAGAGUUUGAAUAGUCCUCUCUGAUUGUCCGUCCGUUUGAGGAUGAUACGCCGAACUAAAUCGUAAAUUCGUGCCCAUAGCUUUUUGCAAACUAACCCAAAAUCUUGAAGUGAAUCUUGGGUCUCGAUCAGAAACUAUGGAUACUGGCAUACCAUGCAGUCUUACAAUCUCGUUUAUGUAUAUACGAGCAAGACGUUCAAAUGUAUAAGUUUCUCGUAUCGGUAAGAAAUGAGCAGACUUGGUCAAUCUAUCAACAAUGACCCAAAUCGCAUCUAUGCCUUGAGAAACCUUGGGAAGACCAGUAACGAAAUCCAUGGUAAUGUGCUCCCACUUCCAUUUUCAAGUGGUUGCAAUGGACCUUUUGGCACUUGAUGCUCCGCCUUGACUCGUUGACAAGUUAGACACCUUGAGAUAAACAGCGUUAUCUCUCUCUUCAUAUUGCUCCACCUAAAUGUAUGUCGAAGAUCACGAUACAUUUUGGUACUCCUAGGAUGGAUUGCAAACGGUGUGUUGUGCGCCUCCAUCAUGAUUUUAUACUUCAAAUCAGAAUCGUUAGGAACACAAAGUCUGGAGUUGACUCGAAGUAUUCCUUCUUCAUCGAUUCUUGCUUCCGGAAUAGCACCUUCUUGUACUUUUUUUCUCAUACGUAUCAGCUCUAGGUCUGUAGCUUGAGCAGCUUUAUCUUUAUCGAUUAAAGUUGGUUCCACUCGUAUAUUCGCCAUCAUCACAUGGGUCCCUGGAGUCUUUAACUCUAUUUCCAUCCUUUCCAAGUCAUACACAAUGGGCCUUUGCAUUGACAAUAAUUCACUCGUGCCCGCAUAUGAUCUUCUACUCAAUGCGUCAGCUACUACGUUCGUUUUUCCAGGAUGGUAUUGGAUGGUAUGAUCAUAAUCUUUCAACAACUCAAGUCAUCAUCGUUGUCGCAUGUUGAGUUCCUUUUGAGUGAAGAAAAUAUUUGAGGCUUUUAUGAUCCGUAUAGAUCUCCACCUUCUUUCCAUACAGGUAAUGCCUCCAAAUCUUAAGUGCGAAGACAACAGCUGCCAACUCUAGAUCAUGAGUAGGAUAAUUCUUCUUAUAUUCUUUGUCGUGAGGCAUAAGGUAUGACUUUCCCAUGUUUCAUGAGAACACAUCCUAACCCUUUACCUGAAACAUCACUGUAAAUGACAAAUCCCUCUGUGCUAGAUGGUAUUGUCAGAACAGGUACUGAAAUGAGUCUCCUCUUGAGUUCUUAAAAACUCUUCUCACAUUCCUCGCUCCAACUGAAUUUUGUAUCUUUUCGAGUCAGCUGCAUUAAUAGAGUAGCAAUUCAAGAAAACCCUUCUACGAAUCUCUGAUAAUAACCAGCUAAGCCGAGAAAGCUACGUACUUCAGUUACUUCAAUUACUGACUUAGGUUGCUCCCAACUUUGAAUUGCUUCAAUCUUUGCCAGGUCAACAAAUAUUCCAUGAUUUGAUAAUACGUGCCCAAGGAAUGCUACUUCCUCAAGCCAGAACUCGCAUUUCUUCAACUUGGCAUAUACCUUGUUUUCACGAAGCUUUUUAAGUAUCAGCCUCAAGUGUUGCUCAUGGUCUUCACGGGUUUUGGAAUAAAUGAGGAUGUCAUCAAUAAAGACGACCACAAAGUGAUCCAAAUAUUCCUUGAAUACUCGGUUCAUCAUAUCCAUGAAGGCAGCAGGAGCAUUAGUCAAUCCAAAAGACAUGACUAUGAAUUUAUAAUGCCCAUACCGAGUUCUGAAAGCAGUCUUUGGAAUGUCAUCAGUUUUAAUCUUCAACUGAUGAUAUUCAGAACGAAGAUCAAUAUUUGAAAAGAAUUUGGCGCCUUGCAACUGGUCAAACAGAUCAUCAAUACGAGGUAACGGGUACCUAUUUUUUAUGGUGAUAUAAUUCAACUCCCGAUAAUCAAUACAAAGUCGCAUACUUCCAUCUUUCUUCUUCACGAAUAGGACAGGAGCACCCCAAGGAGACGUACUAGGACGAAUGAAACCGAUGUCUAACAAUUCCUGUAGUUAGGUUUUUAACUCCUGAAGUUCAAUAGGAGUCAUUCGAUAUGGGGCUUUGAAAAUGGGUUUUGUACCGGUUUCAAGAUCGAUACAAAAUUCAAUUUCACGCUCUGGGGGUAGGCCAGGAAGUUCUUCAGGGAAUACGUCAGGAAAUUUAUUAACAAUAGAAAUAUCAUUCAAAUCUGACGUAUUUUUAUUUAAAUCCGUGACAUGGGCUAAGAAAGCUUGACAUCCGUUUUUCAAUAAACGAAUAGCUUUAUGGCUUGAUAUGACAGUGAUUGAUUUUAGUGGUUUGGCUGCUUGAAUUCGUAUAAUAGGUUGGUUAGGAAUAUGAAAGCUAACAACCUUACGAAAACAAUCGAUUUUAGCAUGAUGAAUAGUUAACCAAUCAAUCCCUAAAAUCACAUCAAAUGCAAGUAUUUUCAAAGAAAUAAGAUUGACAGAUAACGUGCGGUUACCGAUUUGAAUCAAACAAGACUUAUAAACAGUGGAUGUAAUGAAGGUUUCUCCCAACGGAGUUUCAACUGAUAAGUCAAGGUCUAAUUUCUCCGGAGUCAAAUUUAAACGUUGAGCGCAAGUAGGAGAAAUGAAAAAAUAGGUAGAACUAGUAUCAAAUAAAGUAUAAAUUUCGCUAGACUUUAUGAUUAACUUACCUGUGAUCACCUCGUUCGGAUUCCUCACUUUUUGGGAGGUCACGACAAACGCUCUUCCUUGAACUACCGAUUUUGUCUUGUCUGGGACCCCCUUUGAUGCCUCCAUCCCAGCUGGACUUGACUUUGGUACACGGCAAAAUCGGGCUAGGUAGCCUUCUUUUCCACAAUUAUAACAUGCUUUGGACUACAUCGUGCAGUUUGGACUUAUGUGUCCUUCCCCUCCACAUUUGUAACAUACGACCGGCGGUCGUUCUUCUUCCUUAACAGCGAGUGCUGGUGCUGACGUCUUUCAAUCUUUGCUGAACCUUCUCUUCUUGAACUUUCCACUCCUAUUGUCAUGGCAAUGAUUACCACCGAAGUGGUUAUCACUUCUGGCAAGUUGAUUCCCUCUGCGUUAUUCAUUGAAUCAUCCAUGGUCAUAACUAUACCGAAUAAUACCUGGUCAUAAUCAUACCAAAAAUUGUCCGUCAAUGCACUACAGGCUACUAAGGACUUUUACCACCUCAUUUAUAACAUUACAGGUCAUGAUUAUACCGAAUGAUCUCUAGUCAUAAUCAUACAAAGUCCAUCUAUGCACUUAAGCCAAAGAUAACUUUUAUCACAAUAUAAGCAUGAGGAUGAUGACAAUGACAUAAUAAUUCAAUAAAACAAGUUCAAGAAUAAAUUUUAAAGAUUUAUAAGUUAAUUUAGCAUGAACUCAAUAAUAUUCAAAUUGUCAACAUGAUACUUUUUUGUGGAGUAAAAAUUCAAGAAUGUUCAGAAGAAUAUUUUCAUUAAAAGAUACUGAAUGAAGUGCAAAUAUCAAAGAUAUUCCACUAAUUUCAUGGAGUAUAGAAGUUAAAGCUUUAACCAACUAAGUAUAAGAGAAUAUAUGAAACUACAAAUGGAUUUUCGGCCGCCACGCGGUACUCCACUUAGACUGAUCAUUUUCAUAAUUUAAUAAGGAAUGAAUACAAAGGUUCAUUCACCAUGCAUGUGAUAAUCCACAUAGACAGGUUAUUCCAACAGAAUGAUAAAUAAUGGAAUAACAGAAGAAAUCAUUAUGCAUGCGAUAGACCGCACAGACAGGUUAUUCCGACAGAAUAAUAAAUAAUGGAACCAGGUCCGGCGUAAACGCACAGACAGGAUAUUCCGACAGAAUAAUAAAUGAUGGAACCAGGUCCGGCGUAAACGCACAGACAGGAUAUUCCGACAGAAUAAUAAAUGAUGGAACCAGGUCCGGCGUAAACGCACAGACAGGAUAUUCCGACAGAGUAAUAAAGAACGGAAUAAUAUAAAAAUUUCACCAUGUAUACGGUACUUCGUAUAAACAGGUUAUUACAACAUAAUAAUAAAUAAUGGAAUAACAGAAGAAUUUCAUCAGAUUAUUCAAUAAGGAUUUCUACCUAUUGGCGCGCAAUUAGGUGACCAACCUCUCCUUGGCAGAACUUCUAGACAUUAUAAAUAUUAUAAUUUAAUAAUAUGAAUAACUUUGUCGUCUCAAUUAUUGAUUUAAUAAUAUAUCAUAUAAUGCAGAUGAUACUGUGACAAUAAUCGAAUCAAUAAUAUGAGAGAUAUGAUGCAACAAUUACUGUAGCAAUAAUUGAAUAUAACUGAGUGACUUCUCAUGUAAGCAUCAAUAACCAAUACCGUGUGCUACUAUAUAACCACGCGUAUAACUGUACUUUUACUACCGGAUAGUUCAACAGUUUUAACAGUAACACUUUCGCCGUUAUUUUUAUAACACGAUAAUUCUAUCGUUUUCUUACUACGAUAAUACUUCCGUUGUGGAGUCCACCAAUGAUUGUGCCGUCGUACGAAUAUUCCCUGUUAAAACGAAUAUUCUCCGACCAAUCGAAUAUUAUAUAACCACUUGCUUACUUUGUAAAAUUUAUAAAUAUUACCCAAAACUAUAACAUUAUAUCAUAUCCACACCAUAAUAUUCAAAAAUAUAUUUUGAGAGAAAUUAAUUUUUAUUCAUAAAAGUUGGGGUCUUACAAUAUUUAGUCUAGGACGCCAAAAUCGCUCCAGCAGAUGGACUAUAUUUAGUCGAUCAACUUUUUCGGCCGCUCAAAACGACCAAAUCUGCGAACGAAAAAUCAGCCAGACUAUAAUUUAAUAUAAUUAAAUGGAAAACUCUCUGUUAAAGAAAUUGAAGAAAAAAAAUAAGAAAAACUCUGUUGAAGAAGAUCUGUCGAAGAAGAAGGAGAUGAAGUGAGAGAACUGAAAGUGAAGUGAAGAAGAGAUGAACGGUAAUAAAGUACAAUCCAACGGAUAGAAAAAAAAAAUUCAGAACGGUAAUAAAGAGUACAAACGGAUAGAAAUUGAAAGCCUAAUUGGAAAUCUAUAAAUAUGUAUAAUAAUUCAAUUUAUUUUAUAUCUUUCAAUCAACUACUCCAACAUUUAGCAAUUGUAAGUAUUUUAUUAAUAAUAGUUUAUAUUUUUAUUAUAUUUGAUUUUUGUUUUUUAUUGAUAAUAUCUCUUUAAUUUAUUUUUUAGAUAAAAAAUUAUGAUCCUCCGAUGUAUUAUUCUUCAUUAUUAUCUGAAGGUUUCUCACUUGAUGAUCCAAAUUUGUUGGAUGAAUUUUCAAUUCAAAUUGAUGUACCAAUUCAGACUCCCAAAAAUGAGUCCAAUAAAAGAACAGGGCAAAAGAGAAAUUACACAAUUGAAGAAGAUGCUCUUCUUGUUUUCGAAUGGCUUAAUGUAAGUAUGGAUCCAAUUCAAGGAAACGAUCAAAAACAUGAAAGAUAUUGGGAAAGAGUUCACAAAUACAAAAAUUUUGAAUCUAAACGUAAUUCUACUGCUUUGGCGAAACGUUGGUCAACAAUUCAACUCGUGGUGAACAAAUUUUAUGGAUAUUAUGCUUCAAUUGAAAGAAUGCAACAAAGCGGUGUAAGCGAACAAGAUAAGGUAUUUCAAUUUUUUCAUAUAAAAUUUCAUUAAGUUUUAUUCUUAUAUUUUAUAUUUAAUACUUUGUAAAUAAUUUUUCAAUAGAUAUGUCAAGCAUUAGAGAUGUUCAAAAGUAUGCAAAAUCAACCAUUUGAAUUUAUGCAUUGUUGGAGAAUAUUAAAAGAUGCACCGAAAUAGAGAACAGAUAAUAGUAGAAAAAAAUAGAAAAAUAAUAGAAAGUCAAGUCCAACAGCAUCUUCUCCAUCAACUACAGAAGAAGUCAGUUUGGGUAAAGACGAUGGUAUUGAAGAUACAAUCUCUGCAAGAUUAGAGAGACCAAUAGGAAAAAAGGCUUCAAAAGCAUUAUUUAAAAAGGGCAAAGAAAUCGGUGAUACUAGUACACCUAUGGAGUUGAUGUUUGAGAAGUUCGAGCAUCAGAUUAAAUUGAACCAACAAAAGAGACAAGAGAACAUGGACAGAAUAUAUUUUCAAGAGCAAGAGAAGUUGAAUAUACUAAAAGCACAAGAAAAUGAAAGGAUCAUGAUGAUUGACACUGCUAACAUGGAGCUUAAAGUAGCUAAAUAUUACAAACAACGUAAGAAAGAAAUCAUGAAAAGAGUUACAUCUAAUAAUUGACUGGCUUAUUAUUGUAGUAGAAUAUAAUAGAGCCUGAAGUAGCUUAAUUUCCUUAUUAUUGUAGUAGAAUGUAAUGGAUUAGGCUCGGCCAUGUAGUGACCACAAGUGUUGAAUAAUAUCUUCUUGCAGUUUAGAAUGAACUUGUUUAUCCCUUAUGAAAGUAAUUGUGGGGUACGCUCAUGAGACACUUCUACAGUUGAAAUCUCGUCAUGUGUAUCGUAGGUUGUUGGUUCUUGAUUUUCAUCUCGUUCAUCUUCAACUAUCAUAUUAUGUAAUAUUAUGCAUACAGUCAUAAUUUCUUUUAGUGUUGUUUAAUCCCAAAAUCGUGCAGGACCACGAACUAUCACAAAACGUGCUUGCAGUACCCCAAAUGCUCGCUCAACAUCCUUUCUAAGCGCCUCUUGAGUCUUAGCAAAUAGUUUUCUUUUAUUUCCCUAAAGUGCCAAAAUGAUUUUAACAAAUAUUGUCCAUGGGGAAUAUAUACCAUCAACAAGAUAAUAUCCCAUCGUGUACUCAUUUUCAUUAAUUGAGUAGCUCACUGGUGGAGCACGACCUUCAGUAAGAGCAGAAAAGAUAGAUGAUCUCUCCAAAACGUUAAUAUCAUUAUGAGAGCUUGGUAAUCCAAAAAAUGCAUGUCAUAUCCAAAGAUCGUAUGAAACCACCGCUUCUAAAAUAAUUGUUGGCUCGUGCACAUAUCCAAAAUACAUAUCAUGCCAUGCAACUAGACAAUUCUUCCAUUUCUAAUGCAUACAAUCGAUGCUCCCCAACAUCCUAAGAAAACCACGCUCUUCAACUUUUGAUAGCAAUCUAACGAUGUCAUUACUAUUGGGUAAUCUCAAAUAUUCAUCACCAAAAAUUGAAAUGAAUGCUUUUACAAACCUUUUAAGACUCAAUAUAGCCAUGCUUUCACUGAUUCGCACAUAAUCAACGGAAUCCGCUGAAACACCAUAGGCAAACAUCCGUAUUGAGACAGUUAUCUUUUGUAGAGAAGAUAAACCGAGAUGUCCUGCAGCAUUCAUUUUUAGUACGAAAUAUGAAUUAUACGCUUCAACUGCUCUUUGAAUUCAGAAGAAAAACAGACACCACAUUCUAAACCUUCUCCAAAAUAGAUACCGAGGAGGGGGGUAUGUAGAAUUUUCUACAAAAUAAUCACAAAAAAAUCGAUUAUGACCUUCAUGUCUACCACGAUCAAUGAUAAUACAACCUUACACAGAACCACGAUGACGUAAUGUAUACCUAUUGACAUUUUUUUUUUCUUCUACAAUAACCAACAUGCCUAAUAAUUGUCCAUAUACUUUUUCAUCUUCUUCUUCAUCCACGUGCAACAUAACUAAUUCAAAUUAACAAGACAUUUAAAAUAACUUAUUUGACUGAAAAAAUAAAAUUAAAAUGAAUAAAUAUGAAAGAUUAGAUGCGACAUAUAUUUUAUAAAUACUAUUUAUUUAUUAAAAUAUAACCAUUAUAAUAUGACCGUUAAAAUAUGACCAUUAAAAUAUAGUCGUUGAAUUAUGCCCGUCAAAAUUUUUUUGAAUUAAUUGAUUAUUUUAAUUAUUUUAUAUUAUAAUCGACGAGAUAAUCCACAAGAUAGUCCAUCUGUUAAAAAAGAGCGAAGACUAAAAAACAUUUGCUAAUAUCAGAUAGACUAAAUAUAGUCCAGCAGAUCUAUCUAUUGGAGAUGCUCUAAACAGAAAUAGAUCAUAACUACAGUGAAGUUUAUCGGAUAUGCUUAGAUAUGGAGUAUGCAAGAAUUUAUGACAUCUAAUGUACUCAGAAAAAGGAUUUAACUAGCACAACUUUGCAGAAUUGUAACCCAACUCAGCGGCUUUAUCAUAAAAGUUUUGACAAAAAAAUAACCCACAACAGUUUAAAAUGAUAAUUGAGAAGAAAUAAAUGUCUAGCAUAGGAAGUUUUGAACUAUCAGCUCCAGCCAAAAACCAAAUAUAACUCAACACAUACAAGCAGUGAGUAAUCAAUCUUACUCAUGACAAAAAAUGAGAAGUGAUUUCAGCCAGUCCCAACACAAUAAACAAAGUAUACCAUUUAUGGACAGAAUAGAUGAGAUAGAGAAUAUACCUGAAAGAACAAUAUACAUUUAAAUAUACAUACAGAUUUUAAACAAUGUAUAGAUAUGCAUGUACAAAUACUUUAAUUACUUAAAAUACAUUCGUGUUUAAAAAAAACUGUAGAUAAGAAAUUUGUUGUUUUUGAAAGAAAUUUUAAUAUACUCUAAAAAAAUUACAAAUCUAGUCACGAAAAUUAGGAUUUAAACAGUUGUCACAAUCGUUGUUAAAAAAAUGAUUUGUUAGAUUAGAACUCAGAUCUUGAGCACUAAAUCUAACUAAAUUUGUUUAUCUGAAAACUCAUUUAAUCAAAAUGAACAACGAAACUUAACAGAUGAGAACGUUAAGAGUUUUCAGAUCUACAAACUUAGGGUUUUCCCCUUUUUAAAAAAAAAAUUGACACAAAUUAACACCAAAUACUGGUUUUUGAAAAAUAGAUUUUGAGAUAUAAAACUAUCCAUACUUAUUAAAAAAAAAAUCAGAGAAAGCCAACGGACAAAAAUGAACUGCAGAGAAAAACAAAAAGUAGAAUCAAACAAAUAAUUAGUAGAAGUAUGAUUUUGAGGGUGAUGAAUCGAUUGAUAGGAGCAGAUUAAUCGAAAUUGAAAUAAAAAUCAAGGACUUUUUACAGAGAACAGGGUUAGGGUUGAGAGAAUUUUGGGGAGAGAGAAAUGAGAUCCGGAAGAUAACAGAGAAGAGGAAGAGAAAUGAAAUUAAAAAU